ACCAGGCAUGGUGGUGCAUGUCUGUAGUUCCAGCUACUCAGGAGGCUGAGGCAGGAGGAUUGCUUGUGCCCUGGAGUUCAAGGCUGCAGUGAGCUAUGAUUGCACCACUGCACUCUAGCCUGGGCGACAGAGCAAGACUCUGUCUCUU
rfam:Nomascus leucogenys chromosome 10, whole genome shotgun sequence.